rnacentral:tRNA from 9 species
GCACCGAUAGCUCAAUUGGAUAGAGUACCCGGCUUCGAACCGGGUGGUUACAGGUUCGAGUCCUGUUCGGUGCG